rnacentral:rRNA from 1 species
UCGGGUUGUAAAGCACUUUUGUCCGGAAAGAAAACUUCGGAGUUAAUACCUCUGGAGGAUGACGGUACCGGAAGAAUAAGCACCGGCUAACUACGUGCCAGCAGCGCGGUAAUCGUAGGGUGCGAGCGUUAAUCGGAAUUACUGGGCGUAAAGCGUGCGCAGGCGGUGAUGUAAGACCGAUGUGAAAUCCCCGGGCUUAACCUGGGAACUGCAUUGGUGACUGCAUCGCUCGAGUAUGGCAGAGGGGGGUAGAAUUCCACGUGUAGCAGUGAAAUGCGUAGAGAUGUGGAGGAAUACCGAUGGCGAAGGCAGCCCCCUGGGUCAAUACUGACGCUCAUGCACGAAAGCGUGGGGAGCAAACAGGAUUAGAUACCCUGGUAGUCCACGCCCUAAACGAUGUCAACUGGUUGUCGGGCCUUCAUUGGCUUGGUAACGUAGCUAACGCGUGAAGUUGACCGCCUGGGGAGUACGGUCGCAAGAUUAAAACUCAAAGGAAUUGACGGGGACCCGCACAAGCGGUGGAUGAUGUGGAUUAAUUCGAUGCAACGCGAAAAACCUUACCUACCCUUGACAUGUAUGGAAUCCUGCCG